CCUACGGGCGGCAGCAGUGAGGAAUAUUGGUCAAUGGACGAGAGUCUGAACCAGCCAAGUAGCGUGAAGGAUGACUGCCCUAUGGGUUGUAAACUUCUUUUAUAUGGGAAUAAAAUGUUCCACGUGUGGGAUUUUGUAUGUACCAUAUGAAUAAGGAUCGGCUAACUCCGUGCCAGCAGCCGCGGUAAUACGGAGGAUCCGCGCGUUAUCCGGAUUUAUUGGGUUUAAAGGGAGCGUAGGUGGAUUGUUAAGUCAGUUGUGAAAGUUUGCGGCUCAACCGUAAAAUUGCAGUUGAAACUGGCAGUCUUGAGUACAGUAGAGGUGGGCGGAAUUCGUGGUGUAGCGGUGAAAUGCUUAGAUAUAACGAAGAACUCCGAUUGCGAAGGCAGUUCACUGGACUGCAACUGACACUGAGGCUCGAAAGUGUGGGUAUCAAACAGGAUUAGAUACCCUGUAGUC
rnacentral:rRNA from 1 species